rnacentral:lncRNA from 1 species
CCCCACUGCACUAAGCAAUGUAAAAAUAUAGAUAUCAUCUAUAUAUUUUUUUAGCUGGUUUUCCUGAGAAAAAGAGACAAAGACAGGCCUUGAGAGCAAUGAGUCAUGCUACUACUUUCUCCUCAAGUACAGUCAAUGUUCUGGGAUAAGGCAUUGGCCGAAGAAGCAGUUCUAAACUAUCUUCUUCAAGAGCAUACAAGGCUUUCCUUUUGCUUCAGAGAAAAGCUGACUAGGGGCUUGAGUCUGCCUUACCUCCUGACACCUCUCUCAUCUGGUAAGGAAAUAUCCAGAAAAGUCAGCUGCUUCUCUGACUGUGGUUCCUCCUUUCCUGAGAAAAGACUCGAGCUAUGCUUUUUGAUAGGGUAGCACAAAGAAGUCUGAAGAACUAAAAGAAGAGAGAGAGAAUAGACUUGAGUCUUCCUCCCUGCAUCCUGUCACCUCUUUCAUUCAGAGAUAAAACCAGAGAGGAUGGCAAGAACUGCACUCUGAUGCCAUCAGACCAUCUUACAUCAAAGUAAAGCAAGAAAACAAAGUAAGAUUAAACGCAAACCACAAAGAUGUCAUGCUGCCCAUGCUGUGCUGCCUGAGCUUUUCAUUUCAAUCCCUGUAUUUUUCAGAACCAUCUGUGCAAGCAAUGUUUUGUCAGUUCUUCCCCACCCACUCUAUCCUUUAUGCACCUUAGGCCUGUGCAGUUAUUGGCUCUGUCUUACCCCAGAUUCUCAGGGGCUUCCUCUUCAGUCAUCCAAUAUGUCAGUGGCUCUUGCUGCACACAGCGCAUUUCAGGAAAGCCUACAGAAGUUGAGACAUUUAGCCCUCCUGCUGCUAUGUUCUUCCCUUAGAUGAAUGUAUUGCCACACACCCACCAUAAUCUGCUUUAAAACAUCUCAUUUGCAAUGAAAGAAAAAAAAAAUUCACAUGGUUAUUGCUUUCAGGAGCCAAGUCAUUUUGCAUUCUUAGAUCGAGUGUGCUUCAUAUAUAGCUGCUUCUCCUCUGUUUAUUGUGAGAAAGAAGCAUGAACAGGCUGUAAGGGUAAUGUUUUCUUAGCUGUGUUCUCUGACUGCUACUAGCCUCUUUGUGGGGAACUCAAAGGUAUGAAAGAAGAGAAAAGAGCAUUCCCUCUUUACAUGUAUUUUUAGGGUGUAUUCAAGCCUUUGUGCAAGUUCAGUGAGUUUAUCAAAUCAUCUGUAGCCAUAAAAAUUGAGUUCAAACCUUUUUAUUGAAGAAAAGACCAAUGAGUAUGCUCGUAGGAUUUUUCUUUUUAGAAGGUCUGUGGCUAAAAAUGUUGUGGUUUUCCUUAGUCUGUGUUGCUGAAUAAAUACGUCAUUGCAUCAAGACA